rnacentral:rRNA from 1 species
GACGAACGCUGGCGGCGUGCUUAACACAUGCAAGUCGAGCGGUAAGGCCCUUUCGGGGGUACACGAGCGGCGAACGGGUGAGUAACACGUGGGUGACCUGCCCUCAGCUCUGGGAUAAGCCUGGGAAACCGGGUCUAAUACCGGAUAUGACUCCAUGACGCAUGUUGUGGGGUGGAAAGCCUUGUGCGGCUGAGGAUGGGCCCGCGGCCUAUCAGCUUGUUGGUGGGGUGAUGGCCUACCAAGGCGACGACGGGUAGCCGGCCUGAGAGGGCGACCGGCCACACUGGGACUGAGACACGGCCCAGACUCCUACGGGAGGCAGCAGGUGGGGAAUCUUGCGCAAGUGGGACGAAAGCCUGACGCAGCGACGCCGCGUGA